CUCUAUUUUACUCAAAAGCCAGAACUUUGCAAUGGGCUGCAGAGGCUGACACUUCCCUGAAUUUCCUUGACCUCACUCUGAGCUGCAGUCACUCCAGUCAUUCUGCCUUCUUUCUGUUCCUCCAACAUGCCAGGUCUUGCUAGCCUCAGGAUGUUUGCACAGGCAGUUUCCUGUGUGGAAUGCACUUUCCCAGAUAACUGUGUAGUCCAAUGCUCACCUCUUCCACAUCCUGCUCAAAUAUCACUUUCUUAACAAGUCCUGACCACAGUGCUUAAAAUGUGAACACUUCAACUCUAUAUCCUUCUUUAUUUUUAUCCAGAAGAUUGAUUAAUAAGCUCUGUGUUUUAUGUAUAUAUUCUAUUUACCACUUCUCUCUUUCUGCUAGGAAGUAAGAUCCAUAUGGCAGAUAUUUUAAUGUUUUGUUUUUUUUUUAAAUUUAUCCCUGUCUAAAUCUUCAGUGCCUAGUACACCAAAGACAAUAAAUACAUGUAUUGAUUGAUUGAGGAUUUGAUCGAAGGUUGUUUCACAUAUGUACAGAAACCCAACAAGGCUAAAAUAGAGCUAUUCUAGUGCAUGUAGAAUGGUGAAGCAGACAGUUUAUUUUGUUACCAACUCAUUUGCCUCUUGUAGAAUUCUUUACCUCCGUGUUCUCAUCCAUCUGCAGCAUUUCAAGACCUGAGGAUACUGCCAACGUCCUUAGCACCCAAUGGUCUCAUGCUGCCCUGCCUGCUGGAGAGUCUCCAAUACAAUGUCAUCAAGUGGUGCUGGUGCUCUGGACCAGCCCUCCUUUCUCCCAACCCAGAUUUCCGUCAUCACCCAGAUGCUUCUCCUAAGCUACCAUCUUAGACAAAAUUACAAAGUUUCAACCUUGCUCCUAGGCUUUCAUUUGAUCCCCGGAUGGCCUGCCUGUUACAGCAGUGUACAUAACCAUGAACCCUCCUUGGAAGAAGGACCAUCUCGAGAAGCAGGAAGUUUUCAAAGCAGACCCUAACGUUCUCAUUUGGCAUUUGCUCCUCCUAAUAUCCCAUUCACCAUGCUGUGAUGUAGCCAGAAGGCCCUCACCAGAGCCUAAGAAGAUAUAGGUAUCAUACUGUUGGAUCCCCAGAACUGCAAGAUCACUCUUCUUUAUAAGUUACCCAGGCUGGCUGUGGUGGUGCACAUCUGUAAUCUCAGCAUUUUGGGAGGCUGAGACAGAAGGAUUGUGAGUUCAAAGCCAGGCUCAGCAAUUCAGCAAAACCCUAAGCAAUUCAGUGAGACCCUGUCUCUAAAUAAAAUAUACAAAAGGGCUGGGGAUACAGCUCAGUGGUUAAACACCCCCUGGAUGCAAUCCCUGGUACUGACAAAACAAACAAACAAAAAACCCAGUUACCCAGUCUCAGUUAUUUUAUUGUGGCAACAGAACAUGGACUAAGACAUAAACCAAAUGUACACUGAAAAGACUUGAAUUAGUUAGAAAAUAAAUAAAGAACUGGAAAGUC